rnacentral:rRNA from 1 species
GGCCGCGGGAAUUCGAUUAGAGUUUGAACAUGGCUCAGGAUGAACGCUGGCGGUAUGCCUAACACAUGCAAGUCGUACGAGAGUUUUUAACUCUAGUGGCGGACGGGUGAGUAACACGUGAGAAUUUGCCUUUAGGAGGGGGAUAACAAUUGGAAACGAAUGCUAAUACCCCAUAUGCUUUCGAGUGAAAUGAAUUUUUUAUUUGCCUAAAGAGAAGCUCGCGGCUGAUUAGCUUGUUGGUAAGGUAAGAGCUUACCAAGGCGACGAUCAGUAUCUGGUUUGAGAGGACGAUCAGACACACUGGAACUGAGACACGGUCCAGACUCCUACGGGAGGCAGCAGUGGGGAAUUUUCCGCAAUGGGCGAAAGCCUGACGGAGCAAUACCGCGUGAGGGAAGAAUGCCUAUGGGUUGUAAACCUCUUUUUUCAGGGAGGAAUAAAUGACGUGUACCUGAAGAAUAAGCAUCGGCUAACUCCGUGCCAGCAGCCGCGGUAAGACGGAGGAUGCAAGUGUUAUCCGGAAUCACUGGGCGUAAAGCGUCUG